GGAUCCAGACUUUGAUUCUGGCUCAGGAUGAACGCUAGCUACAGGCUUAACACAUGCAAGUCGAGGGGAAACGACAUCGAAAGCUUGCUUUUGAUGGGCGUCGACCGGCGCACGGGUGAGUAACGCGUAUCAACCUGCCCACCACUUGGGGAUAACCUUGCGAAAGUAAGACUAAUACCCAAUGAUAUCCCACGAAGGCAUCCGAAUGGGAUUAAAGAUUUAUCGGUGAUGGAUGGGGAUGCGUCUGAUUAGCUUGUUGGCGGGGUAACGGCCCACCAAGGCGACGAUCAGUAGGGGUUCUGAGAGGAAGGUCCCCCACAUUGGAACUGAGACACGGUCCAAACUCCUACGGGAGGCAGCAGUGAGGAAUAUUGGUCAAUGGGCGAGAGCCUGAACCAGCCAAGUAGCGUGCAGGACGACGGCCCUAUGGGUUGUAAACUGCUUUUAUAAGGGAAUAAAGUGAGUCUCGUGAGACUUUUUGCAUGUACCUUAUGAAUAAGGACCGGCUAAUUCCGUGCCAGCAGCCGCGGUAAUACGGAAGGUCCGGGCGUUAUCCGGAUUUAUUGGGUUUAAAGGGAGCGUAGGCCGGAUAGUAAGCGUGUUGUGAAAUGUAGAGGCUCAACCUCUGCACUGCAGCGCGAACUGGUCUUCUUGAGUACGCACAACGUGGGCGGAAUUCGUGGUGUAGCGGUGAAAUGCUUAGAUAUCACGAAGAACUCCGAUUGCGAAGGCAGCUCACGGGAGUGCAACUGACGCUGAAGCUCGAAAGUGCGGGUAUCGAACAGGAUUAGAUACCCUGUAGUCCGCACGGUAAACGAUGGAUGCCCGCUGUUGGCCUGAAUAGGUCAGCGGCCAAGCGAAAGCAUUAAGCAUCCCACCUGGGGAGUACGCCGGCAACGGUGCAACUCAAAGGAAUUGACG
rnacentral:rRNA from 1 species